ACGGCCAUACCAUGGUGAAUAUACCGGUUCUCGUUAGAUCACCGAAGUCAAGCAUCAGUGGGCAAGGUCAGUACUUGGGUGGGUGACCACCUGGAAACACCGCAUGCCGUU
rnacentral:rRNA from 1 species